AGUCGAGCGAUGGAUUAAGAGCUUGCUCUUAUGAAGUUAGCGGCGGACGGGUGAGUAACACGUGGGUAACCUGCCCAUAAGACUGGGAUAACUCCGGGAAACCGGGGCUAAUACCGGAUAACAUUUUGAACCGCAUGGUUCGAAAUUGAAAGGCGGCUUCGGCUGUCACUUAUGGAUGGACCCGCGUCGCAUUAGCUAGUUGGUGAGGUAACGGCUCACCAAGGCAACGAUGCGUAGCCGACCUGAGAGGGUGAUCGGCCACACUGGGACUGAGACACGGCCCAGACUCCUACGGGAGGCAGCAGUAGGGAAUCUUCCGCAAUGGACGAAAGUCUGACGGAGCAACGCCGCGUGAGUGAUGAAGGCUUUCGGGUCGUAAAACUCUGUUGUUAGGGAAGAACAAGUGCUAGUUGAAUAAGCUGGCACCUUGACGGUACCUAACCAGAAAGCCACGGCUAACUACGUGCCAGCAGCCGCGGUAAUACGUAGGUGGCAAGCGUUAUCCGGAAUUAUUGGGCGUAAAGCGCGCGCAGGUGGUUUCUUAAGUCUGAUGUGAAAGCCCACGGCUCAACCGUGGAGGGUCAUUGGAAACUGGGAGACUUGAGUGCAGAAGAGGAAAGUGGAAUUCCAUGUGUAGCGGUGAAAUGCGUAGAGAUAUGGAGGAACACCAGUGGCGAAGGCGACUUUCUGGUCUGUAACU
rnacentral:rRNA from 1 species